CUUCCUUCAAACAGUGGACCAGACUUUCUAUAAAAUUCUCAAGAUAACAGAUCUUGAAACUGAGUUUUCCCAAGCCUGGGAUCAUACUAGAAGCACAAAAGAGGACCAAGGAGAGGACCGUGCCAAGGAGAAUCCAGAAAGGACAUUGGGUACUGUGGCUUGGUCUCGGGCAGCCAGCUUUCACGUACCACUCGGCGGACAUUGGUGUGUGUGUCGGCUGCAAUGGUACUCAGCUCACUGUCCCUGAAGUUGGGGUGGUGUUCUGGCAAUAGAACUUGGCAGAGCCGAGGACACGACUGUACAGUGGUUUGUAUCUGGGGCCAUUGGUGGAAGAACAGGUGGCAGUGCCACAGCUAUUGGCCAGUGUGUGACAGUUAAAGAAGGAAGCCAGGAGCUACUGCAGCAAGACCUUGUGCGGUAUGCCUGCACUGAUGUGAUGGUUCAUGUAUACAUCGGUGCCUGUCAUGAGCUCUGGCGUCUCUGAGAGGUCACCUUCAUUAUAAAGCUUUGGGUUUCAGUGAUUGCCAAUCUGGUUGAUAGGUUCAUUUGGGAGAGAUGCCAGGUCUUGCCAAAUUCCAACAUGACUGCGGGGCUCAAAACUCAGGGAGGGCCUCUACCUUCUCCGCCAUCUGGCCAAAGUUCAACAUACUACUGUACAGGGUAUACAUGUUGCA
ensembl:processed_transcript Gm15941 predicted gene 15941